ACUUUGUGUUAGUUAGUAUCCCCACCCAGAUGGGUGGAGAUACUGGGUUCACUAUCUCCACCCAGGUGGCAUGCACCUUUAGAAGAAUCAAGUGCACCCAUACCUUUCACUGCUCAAGCUCAGCAGCCACAUUUACAAGCUAACCUGGUUCACCUGUGCUCACACCAUGACCUCUCCUCAGACAGAGAACCUCAACUGAAAGCUUCCUCAAAGACACCACUGAUUAGCUGCACUGUUUGGAACAUAGUUUGCUCAUUUAUUAAUUUAACUUAAAGGUUUUCAACCUACUCAUAUGAACGAUACAUGUUGCCUGUUCAUAUGCUGCUGCUGCUAAGAUUAAUCUGAAAAGGAAAAGAUGUCACUAAGAUGAGCUGUUCCUUCAUCUCUUUGAAGUAAGCAAGCCUUUUUCAACUUGAGGUGGUUUAAGAGGUAACAACUCUCACGCUGAAGGGUGUUGUGCUCAAGGGGGCAAAAUGUUUGACGUAGUGAAGAAAGCAGCAGAGCUGCGAUGGAGGCUGCUGGGAGAAAAGCAGCAGGGUGCACAGACUGCACACCUGCACUAGAUGCGUUCAGCAGGACCUGCUCUGGAUUGAGAAUCUGUGGAAACAUCGGCGGUGAGAGGAUUGAUGCAGGAGUUGGUUUCAGCAGAAAUGGGUUUCGCAUUUCCUCCCUAAGGAUGAACUUUUACAACUCUUUGCGGUUUCCUCCUCUACGCUGGGCGCGACAUGGAUUGGCUUUGCUUUUAUUCCCAAUUGUUUGACAAAUCAAUGCUUUAUUUUGUCUUUGUUAAUUAAAAACACUAGCAUUUAAUUCACAAGGGACAGGUAUUGAUCUACUUUGUAGCAGGGCUGUGCAAUAUGCCUUGAAAAUAAAAUCUGAUAUGUUUCAA